rnacentral:rRNA from 1 species
GGCGAGUGAAGCGGCAAGAGCUCAAAUUUGAAAUCUGGCGCCCCUGGGUGUCCGAGUUGUAAUUUGGAGAGGCAUCUUCUGGUGGGGCCGGGCCUAUGUUCCUUGGAACAGGACGUCAUAGAGGGUGAGAAUCCCGUUUGUGGCUUGGUGCCCCCACCUGUAUGUAGUGUCUUCUACGAGUCGAGUUGUUUGGGAAUGCAGCUCAAAAUGGGUGGUAAAUUUCAUCUAAAGCUAAAUAUUGGCGAGAGACCGAUAGCGCACAAGUAGAGUGAUCGAAAGAUGAAAAGCACUUUGAAAAUAGAGUCAAACAGUACGUGAAAUUGUUGAAAGGGAAGCGCUUGAGACCAGACUCGGCCUAGGGCAAACAUCCUUCCUUCUGGUUGGUGCACUUGCCCCUGGCUGGGCCAGCAUUAGUUGGGUCGGCGGGACAAAGGUCCGGGGAAUGUGGCUCCCCUCGGGGAGUGUUAUAGCCCCGGAUACCAUGCCGCCCGGCCCGACUGAGGACCGCGCUCCGGCUAGGAUGCUGGCGUAAUGGUCUUCAGCGACCCGUCUUGAAACACGGACCAAGGAGUCUAACACCUAUGCGAGUGUUUGGGCUUCAAACCCUUACGCGUAAUGAAAGUGAACGGAGGUGGGAACCCCGCGAGGGGCGCACCAUCGACCGAUCCUGAUGUCCUCGGAUGGAUUUGAGUAGGAGCAUGGCUGUUGGGACCCGAAAGAUGGUGAACUAUGCCUGAAUAGGGUGAAGCCAGAGGAAACUCUGGUGGAGGCUCGCAGCGGUUCUGACGUGCAAAUCGAUCGUCAAAUUUGGGUAUAGGGGCGAAAGACUAAUCGAACCAUCUAGUAGCUGGUUCCUG